rnacentral:rRNA from 1 species
ACGGACGCUGGCGGCGUGCUUAACACAUGCAAGUCGAACGGAAAGGCCCUUCGGGGUACUCGAGUGGCGAACGGGUGAGUAACACGUGGGUGAUCUGCCCUGCACUUUGGGAUAAGCCUGGGAAACUGGGUCUAAUACCGAAUAGGACCACGCGCUUCAUGGUGUGUGGUGGAAAGCUUUUGCGGUGUGGGAUGGGCCCGCGGCCUAUCAGCUUGUUGGUGGGGUAAUGGCCUACCAAGGCGACGACGGGUAGCCGGCCUGAGAGGGUGACCGGCCACACUGGGACUGAGAUACGGCCCAGACUCCUACGGGAGGCAGCAGUGGGGAAUAUUGCACAAUGGGCGCAAGCCUGAUGCAGCGACGCCGCGUGAGGGAUGACGGCCUUCGGGUUGUAAACCUCUUUCAAUAGGGACGAAGCGCAAGUGACGGUACCUAUAGAAGAAGCACCGGCCAACUACGUG